UGGUGGGGUAAGGGCCUACCAAGGCUACGAUCCAUAGCUGAUUUGAGAGGAUGAUCAGCCACAUUGGGACUGAGACACGGCCCAAACUCCUACGGGAGGCAGCAGUGAGGAAUAUUGGACAAUGGGGGCAACCCUGAUCCAGCAAUGCCAUGUGUGUGAAGAAGGCCUUAGGGUUGUAAAGCACUUUAGUUGGGGAGGAAAGCUUUGAGGUUAAUAGCCUUGAGGAAGGACGUUACCCAAAGAAUAAGCACCGGCUAACUCCGUGCCAGCAGCCGCGGUAAUACGGGGGGUGCAAGCGUUAAUCGGAAUUACUGGGCGUAAAGGGUCUGUAGGUGGUUUGUUAAGUCAGAUGUGAAAGCCCAGGGCUCAACCUUGGAACUGCAUUUGAUACUGGCAAACUAGAGUACGGUAGAGGAAUGGGGAAUUUCUGGUGUAGCGGUGAAAUGCGUAGAGAUCAGAAGGAACACCAAUGGCGAAGGCAACAUUCUGGACCGAUACUGACACUGAGGGACGAAAGCGUGGGGAUCAAACAGGAUUAGAUACCCUGGUAGUCCACGCUGUAAACGAUGAGUACUAGCUGUUGGAGUCGGUGUAAAGGCUCAAGUGGCGCAGCUAACGCGAUAAGUACUCCGCCUGGGGACUACGGCCGCAAGGCUAAAACUCAAAGGAAUUGACGGGGACCCGCACAAGCGGUGGAGCAUGUGGUUUAAUUCGAUGCAACGCGAAGAACCUUACCUGGUCUUGACAUCCUGCGAGCUUUCUAGAGAUAGAUUGGUGCCUUCGGGAACGCAGUGACAGGUGCUGCACGGCUGUCGUCAGCUCGUGUUGUGAAAUGUUGGGUUAAGUCCCGCAACGAGCGCAACCCCUAUUGAUAGUUACCAUCAUUAAGUUGGGUACUCUA
rnacentral:rRNA from 1 species